AAAAAGAUAAGCUAACUAAGCUACUGGGCUCAUACCCCAUUUAUAAAGGUUCUAAUCCUUUUCUUUUUA
rnacentral:tRNA from 16 species